AUUCAUAUAAGGAUGAAAAUUAAUUAAUGGGAUAGGGAUAUUUUGGAGAAUAUCUUUUAAUAAUAUCAUUCAAACUUUUUAGAUUAAACAAAAGGUAAAAAAAAUUAGCUUAAUAACUUAAUAAUUUAAUGGCUGAAAAUUCUGAUUAAGUUGAUAAAACAAACAGACUUAAUGACUUAACUGGUUAAAAUUAAGUUAAUUAAGUCAUUAAGUCAAAAAAAAAAAGCCCCUAAGUGAUGACACAUUUUUAAUAUUUUGUCUUAAAACAACACUAAUCAAUAUUAUGUUGUUGCGAAUUAGUGGAGUAGGUAAAAUAUGUAAAAAGAGGUUUGGGGCUCAAAUCCACUCACAUGAGUUGAAAAAAAAAGAUUAUCAAUAAAAUAUAUAUAUAUAUAUAUAUAUAUUGAGAAAAUCAAUCCUACAAAUACACAAUGACUCAAAUCCGGACCUAUGUGAAUGUGGUUUGCCUAUUACUUUAAUUAUUCAGUGGUUUCACAAAAUCGAAUACCUAUAGUACAUGAAUUUAAUCAUUGAGGUAAUUUGAAUAUAAAAUUCUAAAUAUUAGAUUUACUAAUCACUUGAUUCAAAAUCUUGAACAAUUAGGCAAGACAUUCAUUGGUCGAGUUGCAGCCACUCCUUGCUCUUUAUUGAUUUGAGGAUUCGAUUCAUCUUGUGUUGAAGUAAAUACAACGUAUUCUAGUCCCUAAUAUUUUGAGUCCGUCAUUACAAAACUAAUUUAAGAUAUUUUGAUAGACAGAAAUGUAAUUAAAAAUGACCGUGAAAAAUUAGGGGAAAAGAAUUCAACAUCAAUCUCUAAAAUCAUAUCUAACACGAAAUUCCGGGAAGAGAUAUUUUUUUUUGCAAAAAUCGGCUGCUUUGAGUUUUAAUAUUAUAAUAAUAAACAACCGACAUCCAAAUCAAUGUAAAGACUAUUUAAUCAAAUGAUUAAUUAGUUUCUAAUCAUAUCAAUACAUUUUGUUAAGGCAGUUUAAUUUCCACAGCUUAUCCAAAAUAUUCAAAGAGAAAACGUAAGAGUGAUACAAAGUCCAUAAACGUGGAGCGACACACAAACUCAAAUUUCAUUUUCAUUAGUGUCACUUUAUUUGCUUACAUUGGCUAGCUCUAUAUAAAUAUAUACACCCCAUAUCAAUUAUUUUGAAAGUGUAGUGCAGCAAAUGGCUUUGAAUUGGUCAUGUAGUUAACAAUUUGAAAGCAGCCGGUCAUCACUAUUGUCGUUUGCAUUUAAUUAGAAGGUAACGAUGCUUUCACGUUCCCUUAAAUAGUUUCAAUAACUUUAGUCGGUUAGUGAAUAGUGAUUAAUUAAUGUUGAGUUAGGCCCAACCAAUUAAUUAGUUGGCUGGUGAUCUGCCAGCGGAAAUGUUAAUAGAUUAGUAGCCGCAGCCAUUAGGUCAAGUUGAAAAGCAUGUGUGAAAUCCAAGUGCAUGCCUAUAGCCUAGCUAACCAAAAAGCUUGGCAAUAUAUAAUUGGUGGAUUCAAUUAUUUUUUAAGAGUCGUUAAUUGAACUUUGGUCAUCUAUAACAUGUACGGAAGAGGAAAUUGGAGAUUUUACCACUGUGAUUCAUCGAAUUAAUCAUUGAGUACUAGAGCUAGUGGCACCCUUAUAAGAUUCGUGUAAGAUUAAUCUUCUAUAAAGUUAUAACUUUACCUUGAUUGAAAAGGUUUAAAGUUGGAUUAAAAUAAUAAUAAUAAUUAAACCUCUGUAUCAAAUUGCAAGGUGCCCCGGACUUAAAAAAACUCUCAAAAGAGUAAGAACCUAAUAAGAUUUUUUUUUUAAAAGAACUUUUGCGUGAUUCUUCUUCAAAUUUUCUUGUCAUCUUUAAUUAUUAUUCUUUAUUCAAAACCAAAUUGUUGGGGCUACAAAUGUAUAAUAAAGAGAAUGGGAUUUAACACACAGGAGUAAGAUAUUUAAAUAGAACUAAUCGUGAAAGAGAGGUACCAUAAGCACUUUAUCUUUUCUAUUUAAAAAAAAAGUACUAUUAGCACUUUAUCAUUUCUAGUUAACCAUUAUUUA
rnacentral:lncRNA from 1 species